CUACAAAUGAAUUGACGGGGACCCGCACAAGCAGCGGAGCGUGUGGUUUAAUUCGUUGCUACACGAAGAACCUUACCUGGGUUUGACAUAUAGGUUGUAGGGAACUGAAAGGGACGACCCUUCGGGGAGCCUAUACAGGUGUUGCAUGGCUGUCGUCAGCUCGUGUCGUGAGAUGUUCGGUUAAGUCCGCUAACGAGCGCAACCCUCGUCGUAUGUUAUAUGUGUCAUACGAGACUGCCGGUAAAAAGCCGGAGGAAGGUGAGGAUGAUGUCAAGUCAGCAUGACCUUUAUAUCCAGGGCUACACACACGCUACAAUGGUCUGUACAAUGGGUAGCCAAGCCGCGAGGCGGAGCCAAUCCUGAAAGCAGGCCUCAGUUCAGAUUGCAGUCUGCAACUCGACUGCAUGAAGCCGGAGUUGCUAGUAACCGCAGGUCAGCAAUACUGCGGUGAAUACGUUCCCGGGUCUU
rnacentral:rRNA from 1 species